GAUGAACGCUGGCGGCGUGCCUAAUACAUGCAAGUCGAGCGAACAGAUGAGAAGCUUGCUUCUCUGAUGUUAGCGGCGGACGGGUGAGUAACACGUGGGUAACCUACCUAUAAGACUGGGAUAACUCCGGGAAACCGGGGCUAAUACCGGAUAAUAUUUUGAACCGCAUGGUUCAAUAGUGAAAGUCGGUUUCGGCUGUCACUUAUAGAUGGACCCGCGCCGUAUUAGCUAGUUGGUAAGGUAACGGCUUACCAAGGCGACGAUACGUAGCCGACCUGGGACGGUGAUCGGCCGAACGGGAACUGGUACACGGUCCCGCCUCCUACGGGAGGCAGCAGUAGGGAAUCUUCCGCAAUGGGCGAAAGCCUAACGGAGCAACGCCGCGUGAGUGAUGAAGGUCUUCGGAUCGUAAAACUCUGUUGUUAGGGAAGAACAAAUUUGUUAGUAACUGAACAAGUCUUGACGGUACCUAACCAGAAAGCCACGGCUAACUACGUGCCAGCAGCCGCAGUAA
rnacentral:rRNA from 1 species